UCCGGUUGAUCCCGCCGGAAGCUACCGCUAUUGGAGUUCGAUUAAGCCAUGCGAGUCUAGAGGCCUAGCCACGGCGUACCGCUCAGUAACACGUGGGUAACCUACCCUAUGCUGGGGGAUAAGCUCGGGAAACUGAGAAUAAUACCCCAUAGUCCACUACGCCUGGAACGGUGAGUGGAUCAAAGCUCCGGCGGCAUAGGAUGGGCCUGCGGCGUAUCAGGUUGUAGGGGGUGUAACGUACCCUCUAGCCAUCCACGCGUACGGGUGUUGGGAGACAUUGCCCGGAGAUGGAUUCUGAGACACGAAUCCAGACCCUACGGGGUGCAGCAGGCGCGAAAACUUGGCAAUGCGAGAAAUCGUGACCAGGGAACUCCAAGUGGCAGGGGUAAGACCCUGUCUUUUUCCGACUCUAAAUAGGUCGGCGAAUAAGGGGUGGGUAAGGACGGUGCCAGCCGCCGCGGUAAUACCGGCGCCUCAAGUGGUAGUCGCUUUUAUUGGGCCUAAAACGUCCGUAGCCGGUCUGGUACAUUCGUGGGUAAAUCAACUCGCUUAACGAGUUGAAUUCUGCGAGGACGGCCAGACUUGGGACCGGGAGAGGUGUGGGGUACUCUCAGGGUAGGGGUAAAAUCCUGUCAUCCUGAGAGGACCACCUGUUGCGAAGGCUCCACACUAGAACGGAUCCGACGGUCAGGGACGAAGCCUAGGGGCACGAACCGGAUUAGAUACCCGGGUAGUCCUAGGUGUAAACGCUGUGGACUUGAUGUUGGGGACGCUCCGAGCGUUCUCAGUGUCGAAGCGAAAGGUGAUAAGUCCACUGCCUGGGGAGUACGGUCGCAAGGCUGAAACUUAAAGGAAUUGGCGGGGCAGCAC
rnacentral:rRNA from 1 species